CAUGCAAGUCGAGCGAAUGGAUUAAGAGCUUGCUCUUAUGAAGUUAGCGGCGGACGGGUGAGUAACACGUGGGUAACCUGCCCAUAAGACUGGGAUAACUCCGGGAAACCGGGGCUAAUACCGGAUAACAUUUUGAACUGCAUGGUUCGAAAUUGAAAGGCGGCUUCGGCUGUCACUUAUGGAUGGACCCGCGUCGCAUUAGCUAGUUGGUGAGGUAACGGCUCACCAAGGCAACGAUGCGUAGCCGACCUGAGAGGGUGAUCGGCCACACUGGGACUGAGACACGGCCCAGACUCCUACGGGAGGCAGCAGUAGGGAAUCUUCCGCAAUGGACGAAAGUCUGACGGAGCAACGCCGCGUGAGUGAUGAAGGCUUUCGGGUCGUAAAACUCUGUUGUUAGGGAAGAACAAGUGCUAGUUGAAUAAGCUGGCACCUUGACGGUACCUAACCAGAAAGCCACGGCUAACUACGUGCCAGCAGCCGCGGUAAUACGUAGGUGGCAAGCGUUAUCCGGAAUUAUUGGGCGUAAAGCGCGCGCAGGUGGUUUCUUAAGUCUGAUGUGAAAGCCCACGGCUCAACCGUGGAGGGUCAUUGGAAACUGG
rnacentral:rRNA from 1 species